UACGGAGGGGACUAGCGUUGUUCGGAAUUACUGGGCGUAAAGCGCACGUAGGCGGAUUUGUAAGUCAGGGGUGAAAUCCCGGGGCUCAACUUCGGAACUGCCUUUGAUACUGGCGAGCUUGAGUCCGGGAGAGGUGAGUGGAACUGCGAGUGUAGAGGUGAAAUUCGUAGAUAUUCGCAAGAACACCAGUGGCGAAGGCGGCUCACUGGCCCGGUACUGAUGCUGAGGUGCGAAAGCGUGGGGAGCAAACAGG
rnacentral:rRNA from 1 species